ACAACUUUUAGCAACGGAUCUCUUGGCUCUCGCAUCGAUGAAGGACGCAGCGAAAUGCGAUAAGUAAUGUGAAUUGCAGAAUUCAGUGAAUCAUCGAAUCUUUGAACGCACCUUGCGCUCCUUGGUAUUCCGAGGAGCAUGCCUGUUUG
rnacentral:rRNA from 1 species